rnacentral:rRNA from 1 species
UAUCCGGAUUUACUGGGUGUAAAGGGAGCGCAGGCGGUGCGGCAAGUCUGAUGUGAAAGCCCGGGGCUCAACCCCGGUACUGCAUUGGAAACUGUCGUACUAGAGUGUCGGAGGGGUAAGCGGAAUUCCUAGUGUAGCGGUGAAAUGCGUAGAUAUUAGGAGGAACACCAGUGGCGAAGGCGGCUUACUGGACGAUAACUGACGCUGAGGCUCGAAAGCGUGGGGAGCAAACAGGAUUAGAUACCCUGGUACUCCACGCCGUAAACGAUGACUACUAGGUGUAGGGAA